AGUGAACGCUGGCGGUAGGCCUAACACAUGCAAGUCGAACGGCAGCACAGUAAGAGCUUGCUCUUACGGGUGGCGAGUGGCGGACGGGUGAGGAAUACAUCGGAAUCUACUUUUUCGUGGGGGAUAACGUAGGGAAACUUACGCUAAUACCGCAUACGACCUACGGGUGAAAGCAGGGGGUCUUCGGACCUUGCGCGAUUGAAUGAGCCGAUGUCGGAUUAGCUAGUUGGCGGGGUAAAGGCCCACCAAGGCGACGAUCCGUAGCUGGUCUGAGAGGAUGAUCAGCCACACUGGAACUGAGACACUGUCCAGACUCCUACGGGAGGCAGCAGUGGGGAAUAUUGGACAAUGGGCGCAAGCCUGAUCCAGCCAUACCGCGUGGGUGAAGAAGGCCUUCGGGUUGUAAAGCCCUUUUGUUGGGAAAGAAAAGCAGCAGGUUAAUACCCCGCUGUUCUGACGGUACCCAAAGAAUAAGCACCGGCUAACUUCGUG
rnacentral:rRNA from 1 species